rnacentral:rRNA from 1 species
AUCGUACCCCAAACCGACACAGGUGGUCAGGUAGAGAAUACCAAGGCGCUUGAGAGAACUCGGGUGAAGGAACUAGGCAAAAUGGUGCCGUAACUUCGGGAGAAGGCACGCUGAUAUGUAGGUGAAGUCCCUUGCGGAUGGAGCUGAAAUCAGUCGAAGAUACCAGCUGGCUGCAACUGUUUAUUAAAAACACAGCACUGUGCAAACACGAAAGUGGACGUAUACGGUGUGACGCCUGCCCGGU